GAUGAACGCUGACAGAAUGCUUAACACAUGCAAGUCUACUUGAUUCUACUUCGGUAGUUGAUGGUGGCGGACGGGUGAGUAACGCGUAAAGAAUCUGCCCUUUAGUUUGGGAUAACCUUUGGAAACGAAGGCUAAUACCGGAUAUUAUGGAGACGUCGCAUGGCGACUCCAUGAAAGCUAUAUGCGCUAGAGGAGGACUUUGCGUCCCAUUAGUUAGUUGGUGAGGUAAUGGCUCACCAAGACCGCGAUGGGUAGCCGGCCUGGGAGGGUGGUCGGCGACAAGGGAACUGAGACACGGUCCUUGCGCCUAAGGGGGGCAGCAGUGGGGAAUAUUGGACAAUGGGCCACAAGCCUGAUCCAGCAAUUCUGUGGGCACGAUGAAGGUCUUCGGAUUGUAAAGUGCUUUCAGUAGGGAAGAAAAAAAUGACGGUACCUACAGAAGAAGCGACGGCUAAAGAUGUGCCAGCCGCCGCCGUAA
rnacentral:rRNA from 1 species